rnacentral:tRNA from 1 species
GCUGAGGUGGGAGAAUGGUUAAUCCGCAAGCCUCGAGAGCUUGUGUCCUUUUUGGACUUGGGGGUUCGAGUCCCUCCCUCAGCG